GGUGGCUCAGUGGUAGAGUGCUUGCCUUGCAUGCAGGAGGCCCUAGGUUUGAAUCCUCAGCACUA
rnacentral:tRNA from 1 species